AUGACAUCCAUUUUGAUCAAUGAGCUUGUUUUAAACCAUUUGAAUCAGAUACUACCUGCGACAAAAGCACAGAUACAGUAUGUUAUUAGAAUGGAUAGGCUAUACUCAGUUUGUCAUAGUCAACACACAAUAAGGCUUACGGAUAACAAGGUUGUUACAGGCUAGACGAGUCCGUUCUCCAGUCCGUUCUCAAUGAGGCUGUGUCCUUUUUUGUCCCAGCCCCAUGUGUGCACUCCGUAUGGACAAUUUUCCAGCAUUCCACUACUGUCCCUUUCUACUCUCAUUGGCCAAAGUCAAGAGAAGGGCUAGGUAAUCUGGACCCCUUUGACUGCAGCCGACUGGAUUCAGAGGGUGCCGAGGACUUUGAUUGGCUGAUGCUGGAAGACUGGCAGACCAGCAGACACCUCUUCCAGUUACGUCUGAGACUCCGCCUCUUUCUCUACUCCAGCCCCUGGUCGAAUGCUCUUGAUUGACAGGUACAUCUCUUCCUCUGCAUCGUAGUAGUAGAACUUCCUCAGGUACAUGAUCAGUGGUCUGGAGAGGGAGAGGUCAAAUGAGUAACCCCCUAUGCAAAAAUAUACCUUUACAUUAUGUUUCGCAUGUGAAGUAGUUUUCUUUCUGUGUAUAACACUCUCCAUAAAAGAAAGGAAACUGAUGAUGAUGAUGAUGGAUUGCAUUAAGUAGUAUUCUAUCUGUGUAUAACACUCCAUAAAAUAAAGGAAACUGAUGAUGAUGAUGAUGAUGAUGGAUUGCAUUAAAGUACAGCUGCUAUAUAUACCACUUUUCA